rnacentral:rRNA from 1 species
ACAUGCAAGUCGAGCGAACAGACGAGGAGCUUGCUCCUCUGACGUUAGCGGCGGACGGGUGAGUAACACGUGGGUAACCUACCUAUAAGACUGGGAUAACUCCGGCGAAACCGGGGCUAAUACCGGAUAACACAUGAAACCGCAUGGUCUCAUGAUGAAAGACGGUUUUGCUGUCACUUAUAGAUGGACCCGCGGCGUAUUAGCUAGUUGGUAAGGUAACGGCUUACCAAGGCAACGAUACGUAGCCGACCUGAGAGGGUGAUCGGCCACACUGGAACUGAGACACGGUCCAGACUCCUACGGGAGGCAGCAGUAGGGAAUCUUCCGCAAUGGGCGAAAGCCUGACGGAGCAACGCCGCGUGAGUGAUGAAGGUCUUCGGAUCGUAAAACUCUGUUAUUAGGGAAGAACAAGGAUGUAAGUAACUAUGCAUCCCUUGACGGUACCUAAUCAGAAAGCCACGGCUAACUACGUGCCAGCAGCCGCGGUAAUACGUAGGUGGCAAGCGUUAUCCGGAAUUAUUGGGCGUAAAGCGCGCGUAGGCGGUUUUUUAAGUCUGAUGUGAAAGCCCACGGCUCAACCGUGGAGGGUCAUUGGAAACUGGAAAACUUGAGUGCAGAAGAGGAAAGUGGAAUUCCAUGUGUAGCGGUGAAAUGCGCAGAGAUAUGGAGGAACACCAGUGGCGAAGGCGACUUUCUGGUCUGCAACUGACGCUG